rnacentral:rRNA from 1 species
CCUACGGGUGGCAGCAGUGAGGAAUAUUGGUCAAUGGGCGCGAGCCUGAACCAGCCAAGUAGCGUGAAGGAUGACUGCCCUAUGAGUUGUAGACUUCUUUUAUAAAGGAAUAAAGUUACGCACGUGUACCUUUUUGUAUGUACUUUAUGAAUAAGGAUCGGCUAACUCCGUGCCAGCAGCCGCGGUAAGACGGAGGAUCCAAGCGUUAUCCGGAUUUAUUGGGUUGAAAGGGUGCGUAGAUGGGUUGUUAAGUCAGUGGUGAAAGUUUUCGGCUUAACCGUAAAAGUGCAAUGGAUACUGGCAGUCUUGAGUAGAGUUGAGGUAGGCGGAAUUCGUGGUGUAGCGGUGAAAUGCUUAGAUAUCACGAAGAACUCCGAUUGCGAAGGCAGCUUACUAAACUGCCACUGACAUUGAUGCUCGAAAGUGUGGGUAUCAAACAGGAUUAGAUACCCGAGUAGUC